GAAACCACAACUAAGUUAUUUGAAUAUCUAAUAGAACACUUGUUUAGGUGUGGAGGUUAUUUGUGUAUUUUUUAUUUUCUGUUUUCAGCAUGUCUAGAACAUAAAAGUCAUUCUUCACCUAUUGCACUUAUUGAUGAAAAAUCUACAAAUGAUCAUUCAUCACUUCCACAAAAGAGUCUACCUCUGGCAAAAGAAGUACUAGAUCUAUGUUUUUCUGAUGAAUAUUUCUCUGAUAAAAGACCAGCAAAAGAGGAAAAACCAACAGAUGACCAAGAACCAGUAAAAAGAAUAAUCCAAAAGAAAGAAAAUAAAGAUCACUUUGAACUUGACUGCAUAGGACCAUCUAUUAAAUCAUCUUCCUCUUCAAUAAUUAAAAAAGCAUCUUUUGAACAUGGUAAAAAACAAGAGAAUGAUUUAGACCUUUUGAACGACUUUAUUAUGCUGCGAAAUAAAUAUAAGACUUGCACCUCAAAGACUGAAGUCAGAAACAGUGAUGAAAAACAUGAUAGCCAGUGCCAAGCAUUUUGCCUCCUUGAAGCAGCAGCUUCUCCUAUCUUAAAAAACCUUGUAUCCUUCUGUACUCUCCCUACUGCUAAUUGGAAAUUUGCCACUGUUAUUUUUGACCAAACAAGGUUUCUCUUAAAGGAACAAGAAAAAGUAGUAAGUGAUGCUGUUUACCAAGGUACAAAUGAUGAAAGAGAAAUGAUAUUCAAGCAUGCUGCUCUCUUACAUCUUCUGGUAACAGUUAGAGAUGUCCUUUUAACAUGCAGCUUGGACACAGCAUUGGUUCCAUACGGCUAGAUCGAAGAGGACAAGUAGAAGUUAACAGGAGCUAAAGCCUGGAGAAACAAGAAAGAGCCAACUCAUGGAGAGCCCUCUAAGCCACACAAAAGAAUUUCAGGGAUGCUACUGGAUUACAUUUAUCUUUCAAAAGGUUAAUUCUGAUGGCAAUAUAGAGAGUCAGUGGGAGGUCUGAAGAUGAGGAGGCAGAAAGAACAUAAGUCAGUCUCUAAGUUGCCCAUCAGUCUAGCAAUUUUAAUAUAAAAAUAGAAUAUGCACAUAUCUAAAACUCGAACAUAAACAUUAAAAUUUUUUAAAUUUAUUAUUUCAUUUAUUACCCAAAUAUUCAUUAAACACCUAAUCUACAUGAGUUACCAUGCCAGGUCCUCUAGUGCAGUAAUUUACAAAAUUCCAUGCAGCAGAAUCACAUGAAUAGCUUUUAAGACAUAGAAAUAAUUAGGACACAAUCUAGAUGUACUGAAUACGAACCUUCAAGGAUAAAUCUAUAUUUAAAACUGCCCUUAGUGAGCAUGAAUUAGGCACUGCUGUUUUAGCAGCUAUAUGAAUUAAAUAUGUAUAAA
rnacentral:lncRNA from 1 species